rnacentral:rRNA from 1 species
AUUGAACGCUGGCGGCAUGCCUUACACAUGCAAGUCGAACGGCAGCACGGGAGCAAUCCUGGUGGCGAGUGGCGAACGGGUGAGUAAUAUAUCGGAACGUGCCCAGUCGUGGGGGAUAACGUAGCGAAAGCUACGCUAAUACCGCAUACGAUCUAUGGAUGAAAGCGGGGGAUCGCAAGACCUCGCGCGAUUGGAGCGGCCGAUAUCAGAUUAGGUAGUUGGUGAGGUAAAGGCUCACCAAGCCGACGAUCUGUAGCUGGUCUGAGAGGGCGACCAGCCACACUGGGACUGAGACACGGCCCAGACUCCUACGGGAGGCAGCAGUGGGGGAAUUUUUGGACAAUGGGCGGCAAGCCUGAUCCA